rnacentral:rRNA from 1 species
UACAGAGGGGCAAGCGUUAUUCGGAAUUAUUGGGCGUAAAGGGCGCGUAGGCGGCUUGGCAAGUGGAAGGUGAAAUCCCUCGGCUUAACCGAGGAACUGCCUUCCAGACUGUUAGGCUUGAGACCGGGAGAGGUGAGUGGAAUUCCCAGUGUAGCGGUGAAAUGCGUAGAUAUUGGGAGGAACACCAGUGGCGAAGGCGGCUCACUGGACCGGUACUGACGCUGAGGCGCGAAAGCGUGGGAGCAAAGCGGG